rnacentral:rRNA from 1 species
UACGAAGGGGGCUAGCGUUGCUCGGAUUUACUGGGCGUAAAGCGCACGUAGGCGGAUCGAUCAGUCAGGGGUGGAAUCCCAGAGCUCAACUCUGGAACUGCCUUUGAUACUGUCGAUCUGGAGUAUGGAAGAGGUGAGUGGAAUUCCGAGUGUAGAGGUGAAAUUCGUAGAUAUUCGGAGGAACACCAGUGGCGAAGGCGGCUCACUGGUCCAUUACUGACGCUGAGGUGCGAAAGCGUGGGGAGCAAACAGG